rnacentral:lncRNA from 1 species
GAAAAUGUUUUGCAUCAAGGGCGUGCAAUCCAGAGAAUCAAGCGAAAAGGUAAAGUUGUGUUCACUAUUCAGAUGUUUA